rnacentral:lncRNA from 1 species
CUUCCAUCCAGGAUAGUCCUGGAAAUGAUCUUGAUGCUAUCUGUUCCUCGUUACAGCAGACCUGCUCAACUUCAGCAGCUAGAAGGAGGAUUGUCUUUCACCAGCUGCAGGAGCCUGUUCCCACUACAAGCCUGGUGGAGUCUUCGGAGCAGAUGUGACUGUCCUACUUGUAUAGAGAAGAGAAACUGAGGCUCAGAAGAGAUGCCUGGCUGAGUUUAAUAGGACUGCAACAACAAUUUUGCCUUUCUACUUUCUGUAUGAUGACCGGAGACACAGCUGUUGGAGGAAAAAAGUUUAUGUCAAUUAAAAUCCUGAAUUUCUCUGAUCUGGAAAGAAAAACUGCUAUGAACUCUUUAGACACCAAGACCCAAGAAGGAAAAGCAACUAUCAACUGUUUAUGCCAAGUUGGUCGAUAUCAUGGCUAAACUGGAGCCCAGAUGGAGCACUGACACUUGGUUGAGCUAAAAUGCAAACAACCACAGUUUGGCCUCAGCCCUCCUGAGCUAGUUCCUGUUUUCAAAGCUUCACAGGCUGUUGAAACACAGACAUCCUACCUAAUAAUUUUAACUCUGCAAAAAGUGUCUCCAGUGGAAAAGUGUCCAUAUCCAGUAUUCAUUGGUUCAUUUGUGUAAUAAAUAUUUAUGGAGGACGACAAGUGCCAAGAACUGUGCAUAGAGAAACAAUACAGGCAAGACUCUUCUGUAAGAAGCUCAGAGCUCGUGAAGGACAGAGAUAUGUAAACAGAAAAUCAAAUCAAGUCUUUUAAAUUUUGUGAGAAAGUCUACGUAGGGAACAGAAGGUGCAUAGAAGAGAGUGGUCUGAACUAUCUGAGAUGCCAAGGAAGAUUCCACAGGCUUCUCAACUCAGUUACUUUUCAGACGACACUGAAACUGGGACACUAACUUUUCUGGAAUAGCUGAGGAAAGUUUGCUCUGGAUUUCUGGGUGUGUGAAUCUUCUUUCUUGUCUCUGUUCUGAGAAACAUUAAUGAACAUUUGCAUUGAGUAAGAUCUGGCUGUCUGCCCUAUUUGGCUUAACUGGAAUUUUGAAGCAAAUUCUGAGGGGUGGGUGAGUUUUUCCAAUUCCUUAAUUAAACAACUGGAAGACUUCAUGAGAGUCAUUCAUCUUUGUAUCUUUUCAAAUGACUUUCACUGAAAGGGCCACUAUGUUGCAGUCACCACUUUCCUUUAAAUAAUAUUUCUACUGUGUUCUUGAGCUGUUUAUUUUUAUAGUUCUGUGUAUUUGACCUAAAGCUUUUAACCUUGUGUGUGUGCCCUGAAGUGACUUUAUUGCAAAAGGGUUUGGCUUAUAAAUCUCAAUAAUAAAUAAUAUUCAGUCGUAACACAAGGGGAAGAAAUAUCAGAA